rnacentral:rRNA from 1 species
UCCGUAGGUGGCCCAGUAAGUCAGUGGUGAAAUCCUGCCGCUUAACGGUAGAACUGCCAUUGAAACUGCUGGGCUUGAGUACAGUUGAGGUAGGCGGAAUGUGUAGUGUAGCGGUGAAAUGCUUAGAUAUUACACAGAACCCCGAUUGCGAAGGCAGCUUACUAAACUGUAACUGACACUGAGGUACGAAAGCGUGGGGAGCGAACAGGAUUAGAUACCCUGGUAGUCC